AAUUUUGGACAAUGGGGGAAACCCUGAUCCAGCCAUCCCGCGUGUAUGAUGAAGGCCUUCGGAUUGUAAAGCACUUUAAGUUGGGAGGAAGGGCAAUAAGUUAAUACCUUGCUGUUUUGACGUUACCGACAGAAUAAGCACCGGAUAACUUCGUGCCAGCAGCCGCGGUAAUACGAAGGGGGCAAGCGUUAAUCGGAAUUACUGGGCGUAAAGCGCGGGUAGGGGGUUUGUUAAAUUGGAAAGGAAAGCCCCGGGCUCAACCUGGGAACUGCUUUCAAAACUGGCAAGCUAGAGUAUGGCAGAGGGUGGUGGAAUUUCCUGUGUAGCGGUGAAAUGCGUAGAUAUAGGAAGGAACACCAGUGGCGAAGGCGACUACCUGGACUGAUACUGACACUGAGGUGCGAAAGCGUGGGGAGCAAAC
rnacentral:rRNA from 1 species